rnacentral:rRNA from 1 species
UACGUAGGGUGCGAGCGUUGUCCGGAAUUAUUGGGCGUAAAGAGUGUGUAGGCGGUCUGUUAAGUCUUCUGUGAAAGCUUCUGGCUCAACCAGAAAAGCGCAGGGGAAACUGGCAGACUUUGAGUGUGGGAGAGGCAAGUGGAAUUCCUGGUGUAGCGGUGGAAUGCGCAGAUAUCAGGAGGAACACCAACGGCGAAAGCAGCUUGCUGGAACAUAACUGACGCUGAGACACGAAAGCGUGGGGAGCAAACAGGAUUAGAUACCCUGGUAGUCCACGCCGUAAACGAUGAGUGCUCGCUGUUGAGGGUCUCGACUCCCUCAGUGGCCAAGCUAACGCGUUAAGCACUCCGCCUGGGGAGUACGGCCGCAAGGCUAAA